rnacentral:rRNA from 1 species
UACAUGUGGGGCAAGCGUUGUUCGGAAUUACUGGGCAUAAAGGGUGCGUAGGCGGUUUGUUAAGUCACAGGUGAAAGUUUUCGGCCCAACCGGAAAAUUGCCUGCGAUACUGGCGAACUUGAGUGCGUGAGGGGUAGGGGGAACGAGCAGUGUAGCGGUGAAAUGCGUAGAUAUUGCUCGGAAGGCCGGAGCCGAAGGGGGCCUACUGGUGCGCAACUGACGCUGAUGCACGAAAGCGUGGGGAGCAAACAGG